AAGUGUCACAUACUACGUCACUGAUUCUCCUACACCAUCCCAAAGUAUCCAAUCCUGUAACACUCUGUGUGGUGUAUUACUGGGCUUCAUCAUAGCGAUUCUAAUCACAUGUGGAUAUCUCUACUGGAAAUGCAGACAGCGGGAGGACAUGACCUUAGGA